GAUGAACGCUGGCGGCGUGCUUAACACAUGCCAGUCGAACGGGAAAUAUUUCAUUGAGACUUCGGUGGAUUUGAUUUAUUUCAAGUGGCGGACGGGUGAGUAACGCGUGGGUAACCUGCCUUAUACAGGGGGAUAACAGUCAGAAAUGGCUGCUAAUACCGCAUAAGCGCACAGAGCUGCAUGGCUCAGUGUGAAAAACUCCGGUGGUAUAAGAUGGACCCGCGUUGGAUUAGCUAGUUGGUGGGGUAACGGCCCACCAAGGCGACGAUCCAUAGCCGGCCUGAGAGGGUGAGCGGCCACAUUGGGGCUAGGACACGGCCCAGACUCCUACGGGAGGCAGCAGUGGGUAAUAUUGCACAAUGGGGGAAACCCUGAUGCAGCUACGCCGCGUGAAGGAAGAAGUAGCUCGAGAUGUAAACUUCUAUCAGCAGGGAAGAUAGUGACGGUACCUAACGAAGAAGCCCCGGCUAACUACGUG
rnacentral:rRNA from 1 species